rnacentral:rRNA from 1 species
GGGGAAUCUUGGACAAUGGGCGCAAGCCUGAUCCAGCCAUGCCGCGUGAGUGAUGAAGGCCCUAGGGUCGUAAAGCUCUUUCGCCAGGGAUGAUAAUGACAGUACCUGGUAAAGAAACCCCGGCUAACUCCGUGCCAGCAGCCGCGGUAAUACGGAGGGGGUUAGCGUUGUUCGGAAUUACUGGGCGUAAAGCGCGCGUAGGCGGACUAUUAAGUCAGAGGUGAAAUCCCGGGGCUCAACCCCGGAACUGCCUUUGAUACUGGUAGUCUUGAGUUCGAGAGAGGUGAGUGGAAUUCCGAGUGUAGAGGUGAAAUUCGUAGAUAUUCGGAGGAACACCAGUGGCGAAGGCGGCUCACUGGCUCGAUACUGACGCUGAGGUGCGAAAGUGUGGGGAGCAAAC